AAGAGUAAAAUGUCUGGCUUUAUGUUUGGUUUCCUAUUGGAUCAUAGGGAAUCUAAAUAAAGAAAUAGCUCCUUUCACUCUCAUCCUUCUCUUCUUUCAUUCAACCAUAGAAGCUAACUGCAUCACUACUCUGAUGCCUACAAAAUAUUCCCAGCACUGUAAAACUUCUAAAUCCAGGAAAUGUUCUCCUGGCAGAUCUAACAAGGGAGCAUCUCUACGGAGAGGGGAGAGAGCACAACAGAUUUCACACAGAACUAAUUGGGGCAUGCCGAAAUCCUAAUAGGCUGUUUGAACUCAUAUUAGCUGCUAGCAAAUUUCUGGAGGUCUGUGUAUCUAAGACGGAUGUAUCAGAAGAAAUUUUAUUGGAUUCUUCUCGGGUGUAUUUUUUGAUGAUGAACAAAGCAACCUUGUAGACUGAAGCUCAUAUGGAGAAAGCAAGUAUUUAAUGUGAUCAAUAACAACAACUACAAAUGGAGCACAUCGUUUUGUGCUUGGCAUCGUUAAUAUGUUUCGUUCACGGGGUCGCUUACUAUUUGUAAGAAGUGUGAGAGUUUACAAAAGGAAGAAUGUGGAUGUCAAAGCGUUGUGAGACAACAUUUUAGGUAGCCACCAAAACCCAUUCUUUCCAUCUGCUAAGUGCACAGAGGAGACUGCAUUUCCCGAAUCCUUCACAACUAGACACAGCAGCGCCCUGCAUUCUCCUGGUGAGAUGGGGGUAAGCUGCAGCUCAGCAUUGGCGCUGAGAACACAUGGGAAAAGAUGGCUGGUGCUAGGAGACCAGCAGUGAAGAUGAUAGUCCUUGGUCUCAGAUGAUUCUACACUGGAUUCUUCACAGUUGUGUCACCUGUAAGAAGUGUUUCACCAGAACCCCUCACAGACUCAAUUCAAGAAAAAACCUUCAGUUCCGGCAAGAAGGAGUGAAUAAGGCAGGAAGCUAACUGAAGGACAUCAUGAACUCCUUUAUUUUAGGUGACUUGUCCAGGAAUCAAGCCAAUGAAUACUUUUAAGGACUUGAUAAGCACUGAUACAAACCACAG